rnacentral:tRNA from 1 species
AAUAAGGUGGCUGAAUUAGGUGUUAAACUGUAAAUUUAAUUAAGGGAAAUCCCCCUCUUGUUA